rnacentral:rRNA from 1 species
GACGAACGCUGGCGGCGUGCCUAAUACAUGCAAGUAGAACGCACAGUUUAUACCGUAGCUUGCUCCACCAUAGACUGUGAGUUGCGAACGGGUGAGUAACGCGUAGGUAACCUGCCUGGUAGCGGGGGAUAACUAUUGGAAACGAUAGCUAAUACCGCAUAAUAUUAAUUAUUGCAUGAUAAUUAAUUGAAAGGUGCAAUUGCACCACUACCAGAUGGACCUGCGUUGUAUUAGCUAGUAGGUGAGGUAACGGCUCACCUAGGCGACGAUACAUAGCCGACCUGAGAGGGUGAUCGGCCACACUGGGACUGAGACACGGCCCAGACUCCUACGGGAGGCAGCAGUAGGGAAUCUUCGGCAAUGGACGAAAGUCUGACCGAGCAACGCCGCGUGAGUGAAGAAGGUUUUCGGAUCGUAAAGCUCUGUUGUAAGAGAAGAACGGGUGUGAGAGUGGAAAGUUCACACUGUGACGGUAUCUGACCAGAAAGGGACGGCUAAUUACGUG